rnacentral:lncRNA from 1 species
GGUUAUGGUAGACAGUCUUCUACUAACAAUGUGAAUUUGAGAAAUGCAGGACACUCUAAUGACUAUGGAGGACAGAACUCAACAAACAAUGCAUCUGGUAGCCAUUGUGAUUACUCUCAAGGGACUUUCACUAAUCAAGAUGAGAGCAGGGCUUUCUUGGCAAAAGGUCAUGCAUUCACAGACCAUGAAUACAAGCAGAUACUAAACAUGUUAAACAAAGAAGGACAUGACUCUAAGC